rnacentral:rRNA from 1 species
AUUGAACGCUGGCGGCAGGCCUAACACAUGCAAGUCGAGCGGAUGAAGGGAGCUUGCUCCUGGAUUCAGCGGCGGACGGGUGAGUAAUGCCUAGGAAUCUGCCCGGUAGUGGGGGAUAACGUCCGGAAUCGGGCGCUAAUACCGCAUACGUCCUGAGGGAGAAAGUGGGGGAUCUUCGGACCUCACGCUAUCAGAUGAGCCUAGGUCGGAUUAGCUAGUUGGUGGGGUAAAGGCCUACCAAGGCGACGAUCCGUAACUGGUCUGAGAGGAUGAUCAGUCACACUGGAACUGAGACACGGUCCAGACUCCUACGGGAGGCAGCAGUGGGGAAUAUUGGACAAUGGGCGAAAGCCUGAUCCAGCCAUGCCGCGUGUGUGAAGAAGGUCUUCGGAUUGUAAAGCACUUUAAGUUGGGAGGAAGGGCAGUAAGUUAAUACCUUGCUGUUUUGACGUUACCAACAGAAUAAGCACCGGCUAACUUCGUG